rnacentral:rRNA from 1 species
GACGAACGCCGGCGGCGUGCCUAAUACAUGCAAGUAGGACGCACAGCCUAUACCGUAGCUUGCUACACCAUAGGCUUUGAGUUGCGAACGGGUGAGUAACGCGUAGGUAACCUGCCUCUUCGAGGGGGAUAACUAUUGGAAACGAUAGCUAAUACCGCAUAACAGUAUGUAACACCUGUUAGAUGCUUGAAAGAUGCAAUUGCAUCGCUAGUAGAUGGACCUGCGUUGUAUUAGCUAGUAGGUAGGGUAAUGGCCUACCUAGGCAACGAUACAUAGCCGACCUGAGAGGGUGAUCGGCCACACUGGGACUGAGACACGGCCCAGACUCCUACGGGAGGCAGCAGUAGGGAAUCUUCGGCAAUGGGGGGAACCCUGACCGAGCAACGCCGCGUGAGUGAAGAAGGUUUUCGGAUCGUAAAGCUCUGUUGUUAAGGAAGAACGAGUGUGAGAAUGGAAAGUUCAUACUGUGACGGUACUUAACCAGAAAGGGACGGCUAACUACGUGCCAGCAGCCGCGGUAAUACGUAGGUCCCGAGCGUUGUCCGGAUUUAUUGGGCGUAAAGCGAGCGCAGGCGGUUAGAAAAGUCUGAAGUGAAAGGCAGUGGCUCAACCAUUGUAGGCUUUGGAAACUGUUUAACUUGAGUGCAGAAGGGGAGAGUGGAAUUCCAUGUGUAGCGGUGAAAUGCGUAGAUAUAUGGAGGAACACCGGUGGCGAAAGCGGCUCUCUGGUCUGUCACUGACGCUGAGGCUCGAAAGCGUGGGGAGCGAACAGG